GCCCCGCCUCGUCUUCACCAUCGCCGGCGGCUGCCCGACAGAAGCAGCAGCUCGCUGCCUCCUCAUCGAUGUUGGAGGUGUGGCAGCAAAUUCAUUCCUCCCUGCAGCUGCACGUCACCUCCUCCAGCCCCAGUGCCCCACAUCAUGAGAGAGGAGAUGGGUGGAGAAUGAAGCAGAGGCUACGUAUCCAGUAUCCUCCAUCUCUGGUCCCCUUUGUGUGCGCUUGCAGAUUCUUUUUAUCGAUGCCUACAAGGUGCUCGAUGAAAAUCCAGGUAGACUGUCCUCUAUGAAAUAUAUGAGAAAAAAUUUAGGAAAAGAUAAUUGGUGAUAUGUUCAGUCAAAGCAAAAGAGAAAGUAAGAAUCAAGAGAGAGAAGAAAUAGUUUUGGUUCACCCACCAUGAUUUGUUUGUUAUAAUUUUGUUGGUGUGUAGUAUAUAAAUAAAUGCAUAUUGGAUUUUUACCUCUCGUAUUUGAGGGUGGAAUCUUCAGCCUGCUCUGAAGGGCAUCGCGUCGGAGGCAAGUGUUUGCCUUACUUGCCCAAAGGCAACUGGACAGAAUGUGCAAAAGUAAUAUCAAUGCCAAUAGUUGUGCAAAAGAAAUAUCCUUCCAGUAUGUAGCAUAUCCAAAAUAAUACUUGCUAAUUGUUUUUUUGGUUAACUUUUUUCAUGGACCGAUAUUAGUUUCUUUUGCCCUAAAUCACUCUACAACAAAAUACGCAAAAGAAAUAUUAAUGCUUUAUGUUGCAAAGUUGUUUUGGUUUAAGCACAAGCAAGCGGAUUUGCUGCUCGCAAGGUUGUUUGUUAGUUUUCUUUUGGACAAUGCAAACCGUUCAGGUGGUAGGUGUCACUGAUUUUAGAGCUCAUGACUCAUGACUGAAAUCGGGUACCUUUUCUAGGUAAAUUGUGUCUCCUUUAAUUCCCGGUAUGGGUUACUUAAAUUAAUUCAGAAUCAAAGAUGCUUGGAGCGGUGAGGAACUUGACUGCUUCAUCAUAGAGAUGUUGAAGAUUUAUUGUGCUUACAGUAUAAGUUGCCUACAAUAUUGUUGGAUUCCUUUCUCACAUCAAAAUAUAGGUAAACUACUGGUCUUCAUAAUCGACUGCAAGAGAAGAAAAGCUUAAUUACCUGAAAAAUAUAUCAGAGUGAAGGCACUUAUUCCAGGUUUCGCAUAUUCUAUCAUUGCAGCCUUAGUUCCAUGGUUCCACCCAACCU